GCCGCUGUAGCUCAGUGGUAGAGCAGCGCAUUCGUAAUGCGCGGGUCGUAAGUUCAAAUCUUAUCAGCGGCUCCA
rnacentral:tRNA from 1 species